AAAAAGGCAAACCGUGGGUUCCCGUGCCAACGUUUGACUGUCCGUCUUAUAUGAAAUUUUUUUAUAAUUAGUAUUUUUAUUGUUGUUAGAUGAUAAAACAUGAUUAAUACUUUAUGCGUGACUUAUCUUUUUAAUUUUGUUCAUAACUUUUUCAAAUAAGACGGACGGUUAAAUGUUGGACACGAAAACCAGGGUUUGUCUUUUU
rnacentral:pre_miRNA from 1 species